rnacentral:misc_RNA from 1 species
GAUGAAGAACGUAGCAAAAUGCGAUACUUGGUGUGAAUUGCAGAAUCCCGUGAACCAUCGAGUUUUUGAACGCAAGUUGCGCCCGAAGCCUUUUGGCCGAGGGCACGUCUGCCUGGGCGUCACGCAUCGCGUCGCCCCCCACAAUUCUCCGUAAAGGGAACAUGUGUUUUGGGGGCGGAUAUUGGUCUCCCGUGCUCAUGGCGUGGUUGGCCGAAAUAGGAGUCCUUUCGAUGGACGCACGAACUAGUGGUGGUCGUAAAAACCCUCGUCUUUUGUUUCGUGCUGUUGGUCGCAAGGUAAACUCUUUAAAAACCCCAAUUUGUCGUCUCUUGACGACGCUUCGACCGCGACCCCAGGUCAGGCGGGACUACCCGCUGAGUUUAAGCAUAUCAAUAAGCGGAGGA